UACGAAGGUCCCAAGCGUUAUCCGGAUUUAUUGGGUUUAAAGGGUGCGUAGGCGGACUAUUAAGUCAGUGGUGAAAGCCCCAGCUUAACUUGGGAACUGCCAUUGAUACUGAUGGUCUUGAGUACAUUUGAGGUGGGCGGAAUGUGUCAUGUAGCGGUGAAAUGCUUAGAUAUGACACAGAACACCGAUUGCGAAGGCAGCUCACUAAACUGUAACUGACGCUGAGGCACGAAAGCGUGGGGAGCAAACAGG
rnacentral:rRNA from 1 species